AUUGAACGCUGGCGGCAGGCCUAACACAUGCAAGUCGAGCGGAGCGGCGGACGGGUGAGUAAUGCCUAGGAAUCUGACUGGUAGUGGGGGAUAGCGUCCGGAAACGGGAGCUAAUACCGCAUACUAUUAGAUGAGCCUAGGUCGGAUUAGCUAGUGGGAGGGGUAAAGGCCUACCAUGGCGACGACCCGUAACUGGUCUGAGUGGAUGAUCAGGCAGACUGGAACUGAGACACGGUCCAGACUCCUACGGUAGGCAGCAGUGGGUAAUAUUGGGCAAUGGGCGAAAGCCUGAUCCAGCCAUGCCGCGUGAGUGAAGAAGGUCUUCGGAUUGUAAAGCGCUUUAAGUAGUGAGGCGUUACCAACAGAAUAAGCACCGGCUAACUACGUGCCAGCAGCCGCGGUAAUAC
rnacentral:rRNA from 1 species